UGGGGAAUUUUGGACAAUGGGCGCAAGCCUGAUCCAGCAAUGCCGCGUGAGUGAAGAAGGCCUUCGGGUUGUAAAGCUCUUUUGUCAGGGAAGAAACGGCGCCGGCUAAUAUCCGGCGCUAAUGACGGUACCUGAAGAAUAAGCACCGGCUAACUACGUGCCAGCAGCCGCGGUAAUACGUAGGGUGCAAGCGUUAAUCGGAAUUACUGGGCGUAAAGCGUGCGCAGGCGGUUUUGUAAGUCUGUCGUGAAAUCCCCGGGCUUAACCUGGGAAUUGCGAUGGAGACUGCAAGGCUAGAAUCUGGCAGAGGGGGGUAGAAUUCCACGUGUAGCAGUGAAAUGCGUAGAGAUGUGGAGGAACACCGAUGGCGAAGGCAGCCCCCUGGGUCAAGAUUGACGCUCAUGCACGAAAGCGUGGGGAGCAAACAGGAUUAGAUACCCUGGUAGUCCACGCCCUAAACGAUGUCUACUAGUUGUCGGGUCUUAAUUGACUUGGUAACGCAGCUAACGCGUGAAGUAGACCGCCUGGGGAGUACGGUCGCAAGAUUA
rnacentral:rRNA from 1 species